AAGACUAUACUUUCAGGGAUCAUUUCUGUAGUUGGUCACUAGAGGAGAGUGAUCUCCCCUGAUCGGCGUCACAAGCCACGAGGAGGAGCGGGGUGUUCUCUCCUGAGCGCGAAGCGGGCGGGCGGGGCUGCUUGUGCCGGAGCCCCCCCAUGUGGGGUUCGGGAGGGAGAGAGCACGGGCUGAGUGGU
rfam:Caprimulgus carolinensis contig88522, whole genome shotgun sequence.